UACAGAGGUCCCGAGCGUUGUUCGGAUUCACUGGGCGUAAAGGGUGCGUAGGUGGCAUGUUAAGUUUGAUGUGAAAGCUCAGGGCUUAACCCUGAAAUGGCAUUGAAUACUAGCGUGCUGGAGGUUUGGAGGGGGGACUGGAAUUCUCGGUGUAGCAGUGAAAUGCGUAGAUAUCAAGAGGAACACCAGUGGCGAAGGCGAGUCCCUGGACAACACCUGACACUGAGGCACGAAAGCCGGGGGAGCAAACAGG
rnacentral:rRNA from 1 species